AAUUGAGCUGUUAGUCCGUGUACGAGCGUGCGAAAAACACUAAUGCAGUGCUGCGAUAGCGGCAAUAUCAACGAUGGUUAUAUUUUAUCGAUAUCAUCAGUGUUCGAUACUAUCGCUAAAAUCAAAGACGCCGAUACACAGCUGAUAUAUUAUUUGCUGCUAUCACAAUAUAGUGAUAAAUAUGGAUUCGAAUUUUAAGAAUUUUAAAUAUAUGCAGUUGCACCAAGUACUAUUUAAAUUACGACCCCUUGAACAGUACUAUGAUUAUAACGGGCAUAAAAAUACGUUCAAGACACAGGAAGAUGUGCAAAAGAUUUGUGGAGACUUUUUAAAGGCACUUAAAAAAGAUUUGAGCCUUGAGGAAAUAACAUCGUUAUAUUCCGCUGCCAUUAUGUUGCUUAUACUAGGGGAUCCUGAAAUACAAAACCAGCGCCUCGAACUCUUGAACGAUUGUUUCAAUUAUUCAGACAUGUUAAAGCCAACAAUGAUUGACUAUGCUACUCGUGAAUUAAUUGAUAACUUAAAAUUCGCUGCAAGCCUUGCUGAGAACCAUACUGAGUAUGAUUAUAUGCUUUAUUUAUUAUGGGCAAUACCGCAUAUAAUCACAGCAAGUGAAACGGGAAAAAUGAUAUCACUGGGCCUUUUGCGCGCUUUUAUAGCCGAGUUGGCGAAUUCGGGACCAGUUGUCAUGCAUAUAUAUCGAAAUUCUGGCAAAUGAUUAAAACCCUAAAGGCGGAGACAAUAUUAGACGAAUGGUCACUCAAAAAAAUAUACACAUUGGUGAAGAGCUUUGCAUUAAUAUUGGCAACAGCUGCGCUUAACAGUAACAACGCGGCAUUGAAGCAAGCCGGAUACCGGGGCUUUGAGUUGCCCCAAGCAGAGACUGGGACUGAAAUUUCGGAUUGGUUCAAGAUCCUCAGAAACAAGCUGGAAGAGAAGCACAAGACAGACAAAUGCAAAGCAGGCUUGAUGUUGGUACGCUUCAUUGACUUUAACAUACUGAACCUUUUACCGGAAGCUGGAAAUGAAAUAGCUUCAGAGCCUGGAAACGAAGUGGUGCAUGACAAAAGAAUAAGUUUUUAGGUUGUACAAUAUACAUAUAUUUAUCAUGUUACAUAUAACACACA